rnacentral:rRNA from 1 species
GUGGGGAAUUUUGGACAAUGGGCGCAAGCCUGAUCCAGCAAUGCCGCGUGCAGGAAGAAGGCCUUCGGGUUGUAAACUGCUUUUGUACGGAACGAAACGGUCCUGGUUAAUACCCGGGGCUAAUGACGGUACCGUAAGAAUAAGCACCGGCUAACUACGUGCCAGCAGCCGCGGUAAUACGUAGGGUGCAAGCGUUAAUCGGAAUUACUGGGCGUAAAGCGUGCGCAGGCGGUUGUGUAAGACAGGCGUGAAAUCCCCGGGCUCAACCUGGGAAUUGCGCUUGUGACUGCACAGCUGGAGUGCGGCAGAGGGGGAUGGAAUUCCGCGUGUAGCAGUGAAAUGCGUAGAUAUGCGGAGGAACACCGAUGGCGAAGGCAAUCCCCUGGGCCUGCACUGACGCUCAUGCACGAAAGCGUGGGGAGCAAACAGGAUUAGAAACCCUGGUAGUCC